UACGAAGGGGGCUAGCGUUGUUCGGAAUUACUGGGCGUAAAGGGCGCGUAGGCGGUGCCUCAAGUCAGGCGUGAAAGCCCCGGGCUCAACCUGGGAACCGCGCUUGAGACUGGAGUACUAGAGUUCGGGAGAGGGAUGCGGAAUUCCAGGUGUAGCGGUGAAAUGCGUAGAUAUCUGGAGGAACACCGGUGGCGAAGGCGGCAUCCUGGACCGAGAUUGGACGCUGAUGCGCGAAAGCCAGGGGAGCAAACGGG
rnacentral:rRNA from 1 species